rnacentral:misc_RNA from 1 species
GCAAACUUGGUCAUUUAGAGGAAGUAAAAGUCGUAACAAGGUCUCCGUAGGUGAACCUGCGGAGGGAUCAUUAACAAAGAAACAAACGCUAUGAGCUAGAUUGGAUAGUGGUAGGAGUUAGGGUUAGUGUGGAAAAUGUAGAUAGUGUGAAUUUGCAAAAAUGUGUGAAUUUGCAUAAUGCAUGAAAUACGUGAAUUGCACAAAUGUGUGAAUUUGCAUAAAUGCAUUAUUUUGCACAAAUUUGCAAUAUCUGCACAAAUCUACUCUACUCUAGCCACUAUUCUUAGAAUCCAACUAGCUUUGGUAACAUUCACGAUGAACCAGACAAAACAGACAAAAAAAACAAACUUUUAACAAUGGAUCUCUUGGCUCUUGCAUCGAUGAAGAACGCAGC